AAUCUUUUUCUCUUUUCUCUUAUGCUAACUAUGGCUUACAACAAUUUGGUGAAAUUAUACCUUUGUGAGCAAAACUGAAACAUUUAUCUUCUUCUCCCUACCUGAUCCCUCUAGAGUUUGGAAACCUAGUAAGUGAGUGAGUAUGGUUAUUUCAUGGCAAUAUAGUUAUUUGCAUAAGUUCAAUAAGAAUCUGUUCUCCUUAUAACAGGACACAUUGCUUAUCUUACCAAAGCUUUGACUGGAAUGUCAUAUUUGAGAGAAACAUACAGACUCGGAUAUGACAAUACUGCCUUUGAGAAAUAAGGUUGACUUUCUGAAAUAAGCCACUUGGAAAUAUGGGCCUGGUACCUUGUUUACAGAGAUUCUGGCAAUCUUACCUGUCCUGCAAACUAAAGCUGAACAACUUGAUAGAAACUUGAGAGAUUCCUGUCUGUUGCUGUGUAAGCUGCAAGCCACCUGAAUGCCCGAUGACAUCAUCAGAGACGUUUCAAGCUGCUAAAGAUGCUUUGACUCUGACAUCUAGAAGUCGUCUUGACUGGCUGCCUCCUGGACUCAGGAACUAGUUUAUAAUUUGCUCCAACCAUUAACCUUGUUUUUCUUUUAUUUCCAUAGAAAUACUUAUUAAAUACCUGAUUGCUUGCUUCCAAAAUAUAGGCCUAACUUUGGGAGCCCACCUGUAUCGCUGCCUUCUAAAAUGACUUUAACUGGACUGAUCUAUUACCAGGACUAAGAAAUGUGUUCAGUGAGAUGAAACAAUCUACCACUCAGCUUCUGGACUGUGAAACUUCUUAAAGUUUCAAAGGUGGGACUGUGGGGACCUGGAAUUGGCCACCCCAAGAUGUGUCUCUGGACACAUCAGGAUUAUUUGAGGCUGAUUGCUUUUGAUGAACUGGGACAGGGAAGGAGGCUCUGAGGAAUGGAACUUGCCCUUUGUUAGGACACAUUUACAUUUGUAAGGUAAAUCUCUAUCUGUAAAAAGGUGCCUCCCUCUCUGUACCAGGAAGAAGAAAGGAGAUGACCUUCUCUCUAGAAACUCUUGAUCAAUGCCAAAGGCAAGGACUGAAAUCUGCAUUUUAUUGUGCUAGUCUGGUAACCUCCUGUAACUGACUUCCCUGCCCCUCCCAACAUUGGCAUUUCUUUAAGGAUUAAGCAUCUUUCCUUGGGCUGGGAACUGAUUGCUGAGCUCACCUGACAAUAGACUUGCCUCCUGCUGUGCCCACCAAGAUAGUGGACCCACUACCUGCUGUGUCCAUCAAGUGCUGUGCAGACAGGACAGUCUUGUGACUAUUGUGGGAGGGACAUUUCAAUCACAUGUGCAACACCCUGUUUGGGGGUAUAUAACCACUUUGUGCACCCCACUUCUUCGGUGCCCUUUCUUUCUUCGGGAAGAAAGUCUCCGGGCCAUGGUUCCUCAUAAAGCUUUGUUUAAUUUUCUCUUGCUA
rnacentral:lncRNA from 1 species